rnacentral:rRNA from 1 species
GAUGAACGCUAGCGGCAGGCCUAAUACAUGCAAGUCGAACGGUCCACUUCGGUGGAUAGUGGCGCACGGGUGCGUAACACGUACGCAACCUACCUUACAUUGGGGGAUAGCCUUUCGAAAGGGAGAUUAAUACCGCAUAAGACAGUAACAUGGCAUCAUGUAGCUGUUAAAGAUUUAUCGAUGUAAGCUGGGCAUGCGUCCAAUUAGUUAGUUGGUGAGGUAAUGGCUCACCAAGACGAUGAUUGGUAGGGGAACUGAGAGGUCAAUCCCCCACACUGGCACUGAGAUACGGGCCAGACUCCUACGGGAGGCAGCAGUAGGGAAUAUUGGGCAAUGGACGCAAGUCUGACCCAGCCAUGCCGCGUGCAGGAAGAAGGCGUUCUGCGUUGUAAACUGCUUUUAUAUAGGAAGAAACGACCCUUGCGAGGGGCAUUGACGGUAUUAUAUGAAUAAGCACCGGCUAACUCCGUGCCAGCCGCCGCAGUAAUAC